rnacentral:rRNA from 1 species
AUUGAACGCUGGCGGCAUGCUUUACACAUGCAAGUCGAACGGUAACAGGCCGCAAGGUGCUGACGAGUGGCGAACGGGUGAGUAAUGCAUCGGAACGUGCCCAGUCGUGGGGGAUAACGCAGCGAAAGCUGUGCUAAUACCGCAUACGAUCUGUGGAUGAAAGCGGGGGACCGAAAGGCCCCGCGCGAUUGGAGCGGCCGAUGUCAGAUUAGGUAGGUGGUGGGGUAAAGGCUCACCCAGCCAACGAUCUGUAGCUGGUCUGAGAGGACGACCAGCCACACUGGGACUGAGACACGGCCCAGACUCCUACGGGAGGCAGCAGUGGGGAAUUUUGGACAAUGGGCGCAAGCCUGAUCCAGCAAUGCCGCGUGCAGGAAGAAGGCCUUCGGGUUGUAAACUGCUUUUGUACGGAGCGAAAAGGCUCUCUCUAAUACAGGGGGCUCAUGACGGUACCGUAAGAAUAAGCACCGGCUAACUACGUGCCAGCCGCCGCCGUAAGAC